CCUACGGGAGGCAGCAGUGGGGAAUUUUGGACAAUGGGCGCAAGCCUGAUCCAGCAAUGCCGCGUGAGUGAAGAAGGCCUUCGGGUUGUAAAGCUCUUUUGUCAGGGAAGAAACGGUCUCAGCUAAUAUCUGGGGCUAAUGACGGUACCUGAAGAAUAAGCACCGGCUAACUACGUGCCAGCAGCCGCGGUAAUACGUAGGGUGCAAGCGUUAAUCGGAAUUACUGGGCGUAAAGCGUGCGCAGGCGGUUUUGUAAGUCUGUCGUGAAAGCCCCGGGCUCAACCUGGGAAUUGCGAUGGAGACUGCAAGGCUUGAAUCUGGCAGAGGGGGGUAGAAUUCCACGUGUAGCAGUGAAAUGCGUAGAGAUGUGGAGGAACACCGAUGGCGAAGGCAGCCCCCUGGGUCAAGAUUGACGCUCAUGCACGAAAGCGUGGGGAGCAAACAGGAUUAGAUACCCUGGUAGUCCACGCCCUAAACGAUGUCUACUAGUUGUCGGUUUAAUACUUGGUAACGCAGCUAACGCGUGAAGUAGACCGCGUGGGGAGUACGGUCGCAAGAUUUAAAACNCGAAAGUAGAAGUUAGACGCGUGAGACGUAGACGACGGACGACGACGAGGGAGGAGG
rnacentral:rRNA from 1 species